GCUUGUGAAAAUCACGAACGCAAAUAAAUGAAACGUUGUUAUAAAUCAACACAAAUCAUUGUAUCAAUAGUGUGACACAUGUAAUACAGUAGUUGUUUUUAGACGAGUUAGUAUCAUGAGCUAACGUUUGUUUUGGCACUUACAGAAAGGUAGCUAUAGAGUUGCCGUGUAGUAGGUGGAUUGAUAGGUGAAAAUCAAUAUUAAAAUUCAUGUAGCCCUACG